GACGAACGCUGGCGGCGUGCUUAACACAUGCAAGUCGAACGGAAAGGCCCUGCUUUUGUGGGGUGCUCGAGUGGCGAACGGGUGAGUAACACGUGAGUAACCUGCCCUUGACUUUGGGAUAACUUCAGGAAACUGGGGCUAAUACCGGAUAGGAGCUCCUGCUGCAUGGUGGGGGUUGGAAAGUUUCGGCGGUUGGGGAUGGACUCGCGGCUUAUCAGCUUGUUGGUGGGGUAGUGGCUUACCAAGGCUUUGACGGGUAGCCGGCCUGAGAGGGUGACCGGCAACAUUGGGACUGAGAUACGGCCCAGACUCCUACGGGAGGCAGCGGUGGGGAAUAUUGCAAAAUGGGCGGAAGCCUGAUGCAGCAACGCCGCGUGCGGGAUGACGGCCUUCGGGUUGUAAACCGCUUUCGCCUGUGACGAAGCGUGAGUGACGGUAAUGGGUAAAGAAGCACCGGCUAACUACGU
rnacentral:rRNA from 1 species